rnacentral:rRNA from 1 species
GAUGAACGCUGGCGGCGUGCCUAAUACAUGCAAGUCGAGCGAACAGACGAGGAGCUUGCUCCUCUGACGUUAGCGGCGGACGGGUGAGUAACACGUGGAUAACCUACCUAUAAGACUGGGAUAACUUCGGGAAACCGGAGCUAAUACCGGAUAAUAUAUUGAACCGCAUGGUUCAAUAGUGAAAGACGGUUUUGCUGUCACUUAUAGAUGGAUCCCCGCCGCAUUAGCUAGUUGGUAAGGUAACGGCUUACCAAGGCGACGAUGCGUAGCCGACCUGAGAGGGUGAUCGGCCAAACUGGAAUUGAGAAACGGUCCAGACUCCUACGGGAGGCGCAAGUAGGGAAUCUUCCGCAAUGGGCGAAAGCCUAACGGAGCAACGCCGCGUGAGUGAUGAAGGUCUUCGGAUCGUAAAACUCUGUUAUUAGGGAAGAACAAAUGUGUAAGUAACUAUGCACGUCUUGACGGUACCUAAUCAGAAAGCCACGGCUAACUACGUG